AUGGAAAUGCACAUGCUGCUUCCACUAGUUACCACCACGGUGCUCCUCUCGAUCCCAGCAUGGCAGCCGUUGGCCGCGGCGCCGGCGUGCCAGCGGCAGUGCGGCGGAGUGGACAUCCCGUACCCGUUCGGCAUCGGCCGCGGCUGCUUCCUGGACACGGGGGACAGGACCUUCGAGGUCACCUGCCGCAAAGCCACCGCUUCCGACGACGCCCGGCCCUUCGUCGACGGCUACGAGGUGCUCGGCAUUGACCCGGGCCGCGGCAAGAUACGCAUCCGCAGCCCGGUCAGCUCGUGGUGCUACGACGGCGCGAGGCGGUCCAUGGGCGCGCCGCACACGUGGUCCUUCAACUCGACGGCGCUCCGCGUCUCCGACGCGGACAACAAGCUCGCCGUCGUCGGGUGCAGCGCGCUCGCCUACAUCGGGUCGCAGGACGGCGCCGUCGAGAACCGGUACGUGGUCGGGUGCCACGCCGAGUGCGCGAGCGCGGCGUCGCUGUCCGACGGUCCGUGCAACGGCACGGGAUGCUGCCUCACGCCGGUGCCCCCGGGGAUCAGCUCCUUUGACGUGGCCUUCGACGACGCCUACAACAACUCCGCUGUCGCCGGCUUCAGCCCGUGCAGCUAUGCCGUGCUGGUCGAAGCGGCGGCGUUCGAGUUCCGGGCGACCUAUGUCACCACCGGCGCGCUAGGGGACGCGGGCGGCGUUCAGGUGCCGGCGGUGCUGGACUGGGCGGUGGGCAACCAGACGUGCCGGGAUGUGCUGCGGAAGAAGACGGGCUCGUACGCCUGCGCGAGUGCCAACAGCGAGUGCGUCGACGCCAAGAACGGCCCGGGCUACCUCUGUAACUGCUCCAAAGGGUACCAAGGAAACCCUUACGUCAUCCAUGGCUGCCAAGAUAUUAACGAGUGUGAGGAGAAGGCGUCGUACCCAUGUGCCAUUCGUGAUUCCUGUAUCAACACGAUCGGAGGGUACAAAUGCCCAUGCCCUGCACAAAAGCGAGGCUAUUCUGAUGGAACAUGCGAAGCGGAUAAAUCCAUAACUAAAUUGCAAAUCGCAAUAGGUUUUAGCAUUGGCGUGGUUAUGCUGGCACUGGGCAUGACCUGCACCUACGCCAUCCAAGAGAAGCGGCGGGUCGCCGUCGUCAAGACGCGGCACUUCCGGCAGCACGGCGGCCAGCUGCUGUUCGAGGAGAUGAAGAAGUCCAACAAACAGGGAAUGUCCUUCACGCUCUUCACCAAGCAGGAGCUGCAGGAGGCCACCGGCAACUUCGACGAGCGGCACGUGCUGGGCAAGGGCGGCAACGGCACCGUGUACCGUGGCACGCUCCAGGACGGCACGGCGGUGGCGAUCAAGCGGUGCAGGAUCGCCGGCGAAGACGAGCGGCAGCAGCGGGAGUUCGGCAUGGAGACGCUCAUCCUCUCCCAGAUCAACCACAAGAACAUCGUGAAGCUCUACGGGUGUUGCCUCGAGGUGGAGGUCCCCAUGCUCGUCUACCAGUUCAUCCCCAACGGCACCCUCUACCAGCUCAUCCACGGCGGCGCCGCCGUCGUGCCGUUCGCGGUGCGUCUGAGGAUCGCGCACGAGACGGCCGAGGCGCUGGCGUACCUGCACUCGAUGGCAUCGCCGCCGAUCAUCCACGGCGACGUCAAGUCCCCCAACAUCCUCCUCGACGAGAACUACGGCGCCAAGGUGUCCGACUUUGGGGCGUCGUCGCUGGCGCCGGCGCCGACGGACGAGGCGCACCUGGUGACGUUCGUGCAGGGGACGUGCGGGUACCUGGACCCGGAGUACAUGCAGACGUGCCGGCUGACGGAGAAGAGCGACGUGUACAGCUUCGGCGUGGUGCUCCUGGAGCUGCUCACGUCGCGUAAGGCACUGAACCUCGCCGCCCCCGACGACGAGAAGAGCGUCGUCGCGAGCUUCCUCACGGCGGCGAGGGACGGCAGGCUGGACGGCCUGCUGGACGCGCGGAUCAAGAGCGAGGUGAGGGCGGAGACGCUGGAGCAGGUGGCCAAGCUCGCGAAGCUGUGCCUGGAGAUGUCCGGCGAGAGGAGGCCCUCCAUGCGAGAGGUCGCCGAGGAGCUUGACGGGAUCAGGAAGGCGUCGUCACAGAAUCCAUGCUUAUUAGGUGAGGGUGAAGAAGCUCUGUCACAGUACUCUGUUGUGGAUAUGUGUGACUGGUGA
rnacentral:rRNA from 1 species